AUUUUGUUUAUGGCCAGUUUUGGGGCCAGUUUAUGGCCAGAUUUUGGGGGGCCUGUUCCCAACAGUGACAGAGUGGGAGAAUGUGAUUAGUGAGUAGUUCUUUCCACCAACUUGAAGAGUCCCAUCAAUGUCCUGCUCUGAGGGAUGGAGGAAGGUGGGAAGAGUCUGUGAAAAAAGAACAGCAGGAAUUCAGGGUGAAGAAGAUGUGGACUGUGUCUCCAGCAAUUACACACCAUCACUUCUUGAAGAAAUUAUUGUGCAUUAUUUCAGAAAAUGGACUACUUGCACACUUAAGCCCAAUCUAAUUAAUUCAAUUUAUUAAAAUUGUUUAUUCAUCUUAAAUCUAAUUGAGCCUACUAUAACCAUAAUUGAGCUCAUUCAUAUAGUAUUAUCUUUGAUGUCAGUGUAAUUCAUCUUUUCCCCCAUUGGUACUAGUAAAAAAAUGUUGGACAAUAUAUAAUUUAAAAACACUAAUGUUACCAAAGAUAGAUUACGUGUAACCAUUCUAAUCUGCCUCUGCCUGGCUCUGAAAAGUAAUCCACAAUUGGAUUUUGUAUUUUAUGUGAGUGUUUAAAAUUUCUUUUUGACAUUUUAUGAUUUACCUUUUAUUUUUUUCUACUGGAAACAUCAAAAAAUUGGAACUGAUUAAAACAAUAUAUAUUUUUGAAAAAUAAGACAAUGGGGUAAAGAUGGGGACUUUCAGGAGUGAUUCCUAUUUCCUUGUAUUAUGGAAACGUGUAUAGAAACUUUCCUUAUUCAGCAUAAGGAACUCAGUUAUUACCAAGAAUGAUAACUCUACCUUGACUUUUCCUUUUUUUCUGAAUUUCAAAACACUGCCUUGCUCAAACCCAUUUGUAUCCAGUGUUGUUGUUACAAACUCACUCCUAGAGAUGGGUAUGAAAGAGAUGCCCUAACAUUCCUGAAUCUUAGGAAGUCUUAGACUUCUGCAACAAUUCAUUCUGG
rnacentral:lncRNA from 1 species